UUUUUUUUUUUUUUUUUUAAGGAAAUACAGAUAGUACACAGUUCACUUUGAUUUGUGCGAGGGGGACAUGGCAUGCAGCAGCUUGAUGUGGGAUCUCAGUUCCCAGACCAGGGAUUAAACCCGGGUCACAGUGUGAAAGUGCCAAGUCCUAACCACCAGACCACCAACGAACUCCCACAAUUCACUUUUUCUCACUUUAACUACAGGCCAAACACUCAGGUGAAUUAAAGCAAAUACAUGCUUUACCCGGCAAAUAGUAUUGUAUGAGUUUCCUAUGACAUACUGUGUUUACUACUCCAACCCUUUGCUAACGUGAUCUCAACAAAAGCAUUUGAAGUUCAAGAAAAAUCCAAGAAAAGAAUAUAUCAAAAAUAUGGGUAAAACACAGUUAUAUCAACAGUUAACAGAAAAAUUUAGAAACCUUUCUCUUUAUUCUCUAACAGUGAAUUUAAAAGGUAGAAUAUAAAAUUGUCUUCCAAAAGGUUCACAGCCCAUGCCUGAAGACUACAAAGAAAUACGUGGGGGGUCGGGGGGAAGGGGUGGUUUGCCUGGCAGGACAGAUCGAAGAAACACCUUUUUUCCUUUUGACAUUAACGUAAGUUACAAUGGUAUCUGCGCAAUAAGAAUUCGUUAAAUCAUAAAGAAAAAGAGAAACCCUAACUUAAUAACUAAUCUCUGCAAAGUUACUACAUAACUUCUAAACCCAAGUCAAAGUUUAAAAAAAAUAGCAAAGGGAGUUCCCAUCGUGGCGCAGUGGUUAACGAAUCCGACUAGGAACCAUGAAGUUGCGGGUUCGAUCCCUGCCCUGCUCAGUAGAUUAACGAUCCGGCAUUGCCAUGAGCUGUGGUGUAGGUUGCAGACGCGGCUUGGAUCCCGAGCUGCCGUGGCUCUGGCGUAGGCCGGCGGCUACAGCUCCGAUUCGACCCCUAGCCUGGGAACCUCCAUAUGCCAUGGGAGCAGCCCUAGAAAAGGCAAAAAGACAAAAAGAAAAAAAAAAGAAAGAAAGAAAGAAAGAAAUGCAGAGACUCAGGCCCCACCCAGAAUUACUGGAUCAGAAUCUGUGCGGGCAACGAGAUCCCCAGGUGAUGCUCACAGACCGUACAGAUGCCAGAAUAAAUGAAGACCACAUGCUGGAGCACUGAAAUGCAGCGUGCACCCCCACCCCCCCAGGAGGAAACUCUGCAGCGAGCUCUACCAGCGAGGUCCUGUCUCACUCUUUAACGGAUACCGCACACACAGGAAGUGCAUUGGUUAGGUAAAGUCAAUUUCCUCUUUAGAAAGAAUUCAAAAGCUCCCUCGGCUGCUGCAGAGCCUCACGACGUUUUGUUUUUGUUUCAGAACCUCAGAAAAAAAGGAAGUGUGUGAACACAAAGCAGUGAGAGGGCCAGUGGAGGGAGAAGCCAUUCGCCAGUCCUAUAAUCUCAUUGUACAUUGGACCCCUCUUUGUUCAGAUUCCCAACCAACUGCUGUUUCAAACCUGAUACUACUUUUUUUUUUUUUUUUUUUUUUUUUUUUUUGAUUUUUGGGGCUGCACCCAUGGCAUAUGCAAGUUCCCAGGCUAGGGGUCAAAUCAGAGCUACAGCUGCUGGCCUACACCACAGCCACAGCCAAGCGGGAUCCAAGCCGAGUCUGUGACCUACACCACAGCUCACUGCAACGCCGGAUCCCCAACCCCCAGGGAUCGAACCCGAAACCUCAUGGAUACUAGUCGGAUUGACUUCCACUGCGCCACAACAAGAACUCCAAACCUGAUACUACUCUGGCAUCAUUUUCUUCUCCCUGAAAUAGUUCAAAAUUCAAAGCCACCGCCACUUGGAAUAGAAUCAUGUAACUAAUCAAGUUCAUUUGCUUGGCUUUUUAUAAAACUAAUGGUAAAAUGCAGACUUCACUGCUGAGUGAAUUUCUUUGUAUAUCUGAUGUGGUACCAACGGCCCUGUGUGCUCACUGUUGGCUCAGUCUUCCCAACAACUGAGAGGCAGGUCUGGACUAUCUGUCUUGAAGAAAGGAAAGCUCGAAGAAGUCAAAUAAGUUCCCCAUGGCUUCCCAGGGCCAGAAAAAGUCAGACUCCAAGGUCUUUCCACUGCACCAUGCUGUGUUCAGUGCUUACAGACCCCAUUUUAUUUUAUUUUACUUUAUUUUAUUUUUUGCCUUUUCUAGGGCCGCAUGCGCAGCAUAUGGAGGUUGGGACUGGGAUAUGUACACUAUUUUAUCCGGAAUAGAUGGUCAACAGUGACCUGCUGUGAAGCACAGGGAAUUCUACUCAAUAUUCUGUAAUAAUCUACAUGGCAAAAAAACCUGAACAAGAAUGGAUGUACAUGUAUGUAUAACUCAAUCACUUUCCUGUACAGUAGAAAUUACACUGUAAAUCAACUUCAGUAAAAUUUUUUUUUUUUUUUUUGGUCUCUUUAAGGCCGCACCCAUGGCAUACAGAAGUUCCCAGACUGGGGGUCGGAUCUGUAGCCGCCAGCCAUAGCAACGCCGGCAACCUACACCACAGCUCACAGCAUCGCCCUAUCCUUAACCCACUGAGCAAGGCCCAAAGAUCAAACCCGCAACUUCAUGGUUCCUAGUCGGAUUCGUUUCCACGGCACCACGACAGGAACGCCAAUAAAAUUUUUUUUAAUGAAAAAAAAAAAUCUCAUUUACAAAUUUUCCACACAGUUGCUAAUUUCAAGGCAACCGUAUUUUUAGUUUUACUAUGAGGAUAAGUUCUGAAAAUGCCAAAGGGCCAUCAAGUUUAUACAUCAAUACUAAGCCAUGCUAAAGCCUAGUGAAUAUAUACUUCAUCAACUUCUAAGACAACAGUGACUGAUGCAUUUUCCUCUAGAAUUUAGCUAAAUUCUAAAAUGUCAUAAAACCCAUGUAGAAUCUGAUUUAAAGCAUCUCUAGUCUUGGAGUUCCCUGGUGGCCUAGCAGUUAAGGACUUGGCAUAGUCACUCUGGGGGUUUGGAGUACUGCCAUGGGUCAGGUUCAAUCCCUGGACUUGGGAACUUUGCAUGACAGAGGC
ensembl:lncRNA